AUUGAACGCUGGCGGCAGGCCUAACACAUGCAAGUCGAACGAGUGGCGGACGGGUGAGUAAUGUCGGGGAAACUGCCCGAUGGAGGGGGAUAACUACUGGAAACGGUAGCUAAUACCGAAAACCAUCGGAUGUGCCCAGAUGGGAUAAGCUAGUAGGUGGGGUAACGGCUAACAUGGGCGACGAUCACUAGCUGGUCUGAGAGGAUGACAAGCCACACUGGAACUUAGACACGGUCCAGACUCCUACGGGAGGCAGCAGUGGGGACUAUUUCACAAUGGGCGCAAGCCUGAUGCAGCCAUGCCGCGUGUAGGAAGAAGGCCUUCGGGUUGUAAAGUACUUUCAGCGAGGAGGCGUUACUCGCAGAAGAAGCACCGGCUAACUCCGUGCCAGCAGCCGCGGUAAUUC
rnacentral:rRNA from 1 species